CCUACGGGGGGCAGCAGUGAGGAAUAUUGGUCAAUGGCCGGAAGGCUGAACCAGCCAUGCCGCGUGAAGGUCAGUGCCCUAUGGGCGUUAAACUUCUUUUGUGCGGGAGCAAUAAUGGUCACGUGUGGCCAGACGAGAGUACCGUACGAAUAAGCAUCGGCUAACUCCGUGCCAGCAGCCGCGGUAAUACGGGGGAUGCAAGCGUUAUCGGGAUUUAUUGGGUUUAAAGGGUGCGUAGGCUGUGAGGUAAGUCAGCGGUGAAAUGCCCCCGCUCAACGGGGUGAAGGGCCAUUGAUACUGCCUUGCUGGAAUGCGGAUGCCGUGGGAGGAAUGUGUGGUGUAGCGGUGAAAUGCAUAGAUAUCACACAGAACACCGAUUGCGAAGGCAUCUCACGAAUCCGCGAUUGACGCUGAGGCACGAAGGCCAGGGGAGCGAAAGGGAUUAGAUACCCGGGUAGUC
rnacentral:rRNA from 1 species